UACGGGGGGGGCAAGCGUUGUUCGGAAUUACUGGGCGUAAAGGGCUCGUAGGCGGCCAACUAAGUCGGACGUGAAAUCCCUCGGCUUAACCGGGGAACUGCGUCCGAUACUGGAUGGCUUGAGUUUGGGAGAGGGAUGCGGAAUUCCAGGUGUAGCGGUGAAAUGCGUAGAUAUCUGGAGGAACACCGGUGGCGAAGGCGGCAUCCUGGACCAAUACUGACGCUGAGGAGCGAAAGCCAGGGGAGCAAACGGG
rnacentral:rRNA from 1 species